rnacentral:tRNA from 1 species
CCUGGUGACUCAGAAGGUAAAGCGUCUGCCUGCAAUGCAGGAGACCCGGGUUUGAUUCCUGGGUCAGGA